ACACCUGAGCUUCCUCUCAAGGCAGACAUGUUUACCGUCAAAGAACGAUAAACAAAGUAUAGUGAAGUUGAGUUGAAGCAGACUUACCUCACCUGUCGCCAAACAAACGUGCUGUGGAAAGUUUGCCCCGCGUUCAUUCUGACAGAUACCAAACCUUGUCCAUUGCUUUCUUCAAAAACAUGAUUGCUUUUGGAAUGUCUUUUUGGACACCGUGCCCCUGCCGAGAGACACAAUGUUGCAUCGGUGAAGAUAAAAGUCGUACACAAGUUACACAGAUGUCCGGGGAUGAAUCGGACCUGCAGGAGUGUGAUUCCAAAAUCAUACAUGGAUGCCGGGUCCUCCAACAGCACCGCCCCCCUCUCGUAGUGCCUCAGGGCCGCCUGAAUGUUGGGAGACACUCCCUGCUGACCCCAGAACAGCAUGCGGGCGACGGCUUGCUAGGAAAAAAAUAAAGUACAUUCUGUACAAAUGUGCUAUUCCUGGGACGUCCCAGUGGCCAAGCCAGGCCUCAGUUCAAUCUGCUUUUUAUUUGUCUUUAUUAGUGAGGUACCUCUGCAUCAGGUGCACCUCUGUGUGCCUGAUGUUUCAGCCACUGGAAGAUGUGGUGGUUUUCAUUGGUUUGAAGCUGUAGGACCUCUUCAUUGUGCAAGUAAAUCUCCUCAACAUACACCUG